rnacentral:rRNA from 1 species
UACGUAGGGUGCAAGCGUUAAUCGGAAUUACUGGGCGUAAAGCGUGCGCAGGCGGUUAUGUAAGACAGAUGUGAAAUGCCCGGGCUUAACCUGGGAACUGCAUUUGUGACUGCAUGGCUAGAGUUUGGCAGAGGGGGGUAGAAUUCCACGUGUAGCAGUGAAAUGCGUAGAUAUGUGGAGGAACACCGAUGGCGAAGGCAGCCCCCUGGGGUCAAGACUGACGCUCAUGCACGAAAGCGUGGGGAGCAAACGAGGAUUAGAGUACCCGA